GACGAACGCUGGCGGCGUGCUUAACACAUGCAAGUCGAACGGAAAGGCCCUGCUUUUGUGGGGUGCUCGAGUGGCGAACGGGUGAGUAACACGUGAGUAACCUGCCCUUGACUUUGGGAUAACUUCAGGAAACUGGGGCUAAUACCGGAUAGGAGCUCCUGCUGCAUGGUGGGGGUUGGAAAGUUUCGGCGGUUGGGGAUGGACUCGCGGCUUAUCAGCUUGUUGGUGGGGUAGUGGCUUACCAAGGCUUUGACGGGUAGCCGGCCUGAGAGGGUGACCGGCCACAUUGGGACUGAGAUACGGACCAGACUCCUACGGGAGGCAGCAGUGGGGAAUAUUGCGCAAUGGGCGGAAGCCUGAUGCAGCAACGCCGCGUGCGGGAUGACGGCCUUCGGGUUGUAAACCGCUUUCGCCUGUGACGAAGCGUGAGUGACGGUAAUGGGUAAAGAAGCACCGGCUAACUACGUG
rnacentral:rRNA from 1 species